GGGUACCUUUCAUUUUGCUCUUCUAGCGGCAGGAAUCAGCAUUUCCCUUGUGUUCCUCUGUAUUCUUGUCAUUAUUGGUGUUUGGUAUGCAUGGGGAAAAAAAAAGGGAAGUUCAGCUGAAACUACUUCUGUCCCCUCUGGUGAACCUGGAGUGUACUUAAGAAAAAUUUCAACACAUAAGAACUAAUGCAAGUGGCCUUUUGAAAGAGCGUUGCAAUGGCAGCAGGAGAGUUGUUGCAUGAUCCUUUGGUCUCUGCACCUGUAUGGUAGAACCACGCAUACUAUGGGACUUCAAAUUAAUAAUUUUCCCUUUUUCAGUGAGCAUUUCACAUCACUCCAUAAUAAUUUGGAAUGUCAGUUGACAAGAAAAUCCUGUUACUAAAAGAAUCUCAAUCAAUGCUAUUAAGUAAAGCGUUAAAACCCAGGGAAACGUUAGAACCAAGUAGGUUCUUAAAUGCCACCUGAUGUGUUAUGCAUUGACUGUAGCAUAACAAGCAUAACAAAGGUCAAACUGCUGCAGAUCCUCAAGCCUUAUAACCUUUUUCCUCAUCAAUACCGUAACUAAAUCCAGUUCUGAGAACUAUGUGAUACUAGGGACUCUAGGAAGCUUAAUCGCUGGUACUUUUGGACUUUGCUGUGUGUUUAUUGUAUAUUGCAAUAAGGUGUAUUUCUAUCCUACUCUCAUUUCAGUAAUGUUUAUCUUUUCUCACAUCUUUUUCAGAAGAAAAGAUGGAAGGAAGGUCCUCUCAAUUGUAGCGAUUUAAACAGCACUCUCAAAAGAGCUGUAUUUUCAGAAAAGUUAAAUUCUUGAAAUUAAAGAGGUCCUAGUAACAGAAAAUGGCACAUUUAGGCUAUAUCUGUUCUAAUAAAUUAAACCUACACAGGGACAUUGCUACUUUUGAGACUAGCUGGAAUAGCCCCUGUUUAUGCUUGUAUACAUGUGAACUACCUAUUGUAAAUGGCUCCUGGAAGGCUCUAGCUUCCAAAACUUGGCUCAGACCAAAACGAGUUUACUACCAUUAACAGUACUAUUCCAGAGCCUGGGACUUUACCUAGGUACUGUUUAAUUUAGUCAAGAUAUACAGUGUUAUUGUUCAAUGCUCUUUUUAAAUGACAUAUUUGAUGUAUCUACAUACUUAUUUAUUCCAGUUAUUAGCAGUGAUUAAUCACAGCUGGGUACUGCAAGCUUUCAUAUACUGACUGUGCUCUGUUUUUCUGCUGCAUUGUAGUUGUCUAGAAAGCUGCUUCCUUGAAUAUAAGGCUUGUUGCUAAAAGCUUAUUAUGGCGCCUUAGAGAGGUGUAGAUUUAGAGUUGAACUGUAUUGCACUCUCUUGCUAGGUAGACACUCUCAUAAAAUAGAGUAGCAGAAUAGUCUCACACCCUGACCUUAGGCUGAAGCUUUCACAUCCUCAUUGAGUGAAUGCAGAAAUCACUAGUGCGAUGCAAAUACGUAUCCUGGCCUAUGGCUCUGCAAGGCUGUGUAAAUUAGUCUAUGUAAAACUCCAUGCAGUGACAAGGCUACAGUACCCAGAGAAAUUCUAUAGCCUGAACGUAGACAUGCAGUUCGGUUUUCAGCACGUCAUCUAUUUUGUAAGAGAGGAAAUUAGCACAUAUUGGGAAAAGCUGUUUUUAUAGAAUGUAAAAAACAAGUUAAUGCAUUGAUAAAAUUAUGUCCGUUAAAAUCAGCAACAGUGUGACUAAAAGAUUAAUUCCUCAGUGAGUAUAAACUGACAGACUUUCCUUCCAGUUCUAGCCCAUGAUUAUAAUCAAGAGUCAGCUAAGGCUGAAAACCUGAAUUUUAUUGGAUGACACCCUCAUCAUUCCACUACUUCUUCCCCUAAUUGUGUAGCACUUACUAACUGGUGUCAGGUGUUUUCAGCAGCAAGUGGGUGCUGUGGAGCUCUGUUUGAGCAGGAGCCAGGGUACGUGGGACAGAAAAGGCCAGAAGACGCCCAAUGGGCUGCCCUCCAGUGACAUGGUAGAGGAAGGAGGGCUGGAAAAGUAAGGGGCUUGCCUGAGAUGGCUCUACCAAAAUGCUCUUGUGUGAGCUCUGGCAAGUGAUCUUUAUUUCUGAGACUGAGCUCCUCGUCUAAAGGACAGAACCAAGCAGUUUGUCCCUAACUCAUGCUUAUCUGUGAAGAUAAAUACAUUUAAGAGCAUGAGACGUGUUAAGUCCCACAGUAAUGGGGAUUUCAGCUAUCCUGAAAGUUGUAAUUUUGCAGGAAAUCACAGAUUCUGUUUGUAAAUCUUAAGCCAGUGUAAUUUUUCUCAAUAACAGUAGAGAAGAAUGCUAUGUCAGCUUUCAAUUUCAGGUACCAAUUGACAUUCUCUAUGAAUAAAAGCAGUUUGUUGGCAGGGUCUGCAUUUACUUCAUGAAAGCCAAAGAGAUCUUUUCACUUUUCAGUGAAACAAAAUGCAAAGGAAUAUUUGAAAGUUCACCGCUCUUUCCAUCUGCUCAAUAGAUAGCUUUUCCUGUGUGUUUAUUCUGCGAUUAAGAAUGAAGUAAUUAUAUGGAUUAUAUCUGCAGCAGUAUUAUUUGGGAUGGGACAGUUGUGCUAUGGCUGCUUCCUGUGUGUUUUUAACGUGCAUCUUCUGUUUUCCUUCCAUUGAAUACAAGUUCAGUAGGUUCUUAAAUGAUUUUCUAAAUCAAGAGUGCCCUGGACAACAAACAGUGUUAGCUGAAUGCAGAGGAAGUAAGAAUAACAAAUAUUUUAUUAUUUGCCAGGAAUAAUUCAUAUAAGCCUCUAUGUAAAUGAUUCUGCUUUUGGAAAUGUUUUCAGAGUGAUUGUAUUUUAUGUGAACUUUUAUGGAGUUUGUGUACUGGAAAUAAUAUUUACUAUUUGUUA